rnacentral:rRNA from 1 species
UGCGCUUAUGCAUGCAAGUCGAGCGAAGCUUUUCAGUAGUUUACUACAGAAAAUGACUGAGCGGCGAACGGGUGAGUAACGCGUGAGCAAUCUACCUUAGUUACAGGGAUAGCCCGAGGAAACUCGGAUUAAUACCUGAUAUUCUUUAUUUCUCGCAUGAGAAUAAAAGGAAAGGUCAGCCGAACUAAGAUGAGCUCGCGUUCUAUCAGCUUGUUGGUGAGGUAAAAGCUUACCAAGGCUACGACGGAUAGCUGGUCUGAGAGGACGAUCAGCCACACUGGGACUGAGACACGGCCCAGACUCCUACGGGAGGCUGCAGCAGGGAAUAUUGUGCAAUGAACGAAAGUUUGACACAGCGACACCGCGUGUGGGAUGACGGAUCUAGGUUUGUAAACCACUUUCAGGAGGGAAGAAAAUGACGGUACCUCCACAAGAAGCCCCGGCCAACUACGUGCCAGCAGCCGCGGUAAUACGUAGGGGGCGAGCGUUGUCCGGAUUUAUUGGGCGUAAAGAGCUCGUAGGCGGUUCAACAAGUCGGUCGUGAAAGUUCAGGGCUCAACCCUGAAAUGUCGAUCGAUACUGUUGUGACUAGGAUACGGUAGAGGUGAGUGGAAUUCCGAGUGUAGCGGUGAAAUGCGUAGAUAUUCGGAGGAACACCAAUUGCGAAGGCAGCUCACUGGGCCGCUAUCGACGCUGAGGAGCGAAAGCUAGGGGAGCAAACAGGAUUAGAUACCCUGGUAGUCCUAGCUGUAAACGAUGGAUACUAGAUGUAGGAACUGGAUUGACGGUUUCUGUAUCGCAGCUAACGCGUUAAGUAUCCCGCCUGGGGAGUACGGUCGCAAGACUA